rnacentral:rRNA from 1 species
CCUACGGGAGGCAGCAGUGGGGAAUAUUGCACAAUGGGGGAAACCCUGAUGCAGCGACGCCGCGUGAGGGAAGAAGGAUUUCGGUGUGUAAAGCUCUGUCAGCAGGGAAGAAAAUGACGGUACCUGACCAAGAAUCCCAGGCUAACUACGUGCCAGCAGCCGCGGUAAUACGUAGGGGGCAAGCGUUAUCCGGAUGUACUGGGUGUAAAGGGAGCGUAGACGGAAUGGUAAGUCUGGAGUGAAAGGCGCGGGCUCAACCCCCGAACUGCUCUUGAUACUGUCAGGCUGGAGCGCAGGUGGGGUAAGUGGAAUGUCUGGUGUAGCGGUGAAAUGCGUAGAUAUUAGGCGGAACACCAGUGGCGAAGGCAGCUUACUAAUCUAUAACUGACGUUGAGGCUCGAAAGCGUGGGGAGCAAACAGGAUUAGAUACCCUUGUAGUC